CGGAAAGGAACGCUCUAACGGGUUAGAUGUCUCAGGCAGCUGGAAGAGGAUAAAAGCCUAAGCAGAGAGCCUAAGAGGCAGGAGGAAAGGCGCAGGGGAGGCUGAGAGGAGAAACACAUAGGAAGCAAAAGCAACUAUGCUUAAUGAAUACACAGAGAGAGGAGUGGAGGACGACUUUCACAUUGCUGCUUUAGAAGACCGGGGAUGACAGUGUUCCCUUGGAACAAUAAGAAGAUAAUACAAUAUGGACAGGGGGCUGUUGCUAUGCGAAAUUCCAGACACCCACUAGGGUGGGCAAUGGAUGGGUUAAGGCAGAGUCAAUCUGCCUCUCUCAGGAUGACAGCUGUUGCUAGGGAAGCCAGCAAUUACCAAAGAAGGCCAUAGAGACAUUGCUUAUGAAUCCGUCAACAGGUUAUGGAAAAAUAUGCAUCUUGCUUUAUAACUGACAAGCAAGACCUGCCUCUAAAUAAGAGUGGUUUGUUACUUUAUUCAGCAAUCAUUUAAUAAGUGCCCACACCACUCCAACUCCGGACACCUAGUGAACAUUGAAUGAAUUUUCUGAAUUAGCAGAGCUGUGAAAAAAACCUGCCAAGUAUGCAUCCUUGAUUGAUUGAUUACACAUGUCAUGGAUUUCAAGUUUU
rnacentral:lncRNA from 1 species